rnacentral:rRNA from 1 species
CCGAGACAGGUGCUGCAUGGCUGUCGUCAGCUCGUGCCGUGAGGUGUUGGGUUAAGUCCGCAACGAGCGCAACCCUAUUGCCAGUUGCUACCAGGUAAUGCUGGGCACUCGUGGUGAGACUGCCCCGGUUAACGGGGAGGAAGGUGGGGACGACGUCAAGUCAUCAUGGCCCUUACGCCUAGGGCUACACACGUACUACAAUGGCGCAUACAAAGGGCAGCGAUACCGCGAGGUGGAGCCAAUCCCAAAAAGUGCGUCCCAGUCCGGAUUGCAGUCUGCAACUCGACUGCAUGAAGUUGGAAUCGCUAGUAAUUCGAGAUCAGCAUGCUCGGGUGAAUGCGUUCCCGGGCCUU